UACGUAGGGUGCGAGCGUUGUCCGGAAUUAUUGGGCGUAAAGAGCUCGUAGGCGGUUUGUCGCGUCUGCUGUGAAAACCCGAGGCUCAACCUCGGGCCUGCAGUGGGUACGGGCAGACUAGAGUGCGGUAGGGGAGAUUGGAAUUCCUGGUGUAGCGGUGGAAUGCGCAGAUAUCAGGAGGAACACCGGUGGCGAAGGCGGGUCUCUGGGCAGUAACUGACGCUGAGGAGCGAAAGCGUGGGGAGCGAACAGG
rnacentral:rRNA from 1 species